rnacentral:rRNA from 1 species
AUUGAACGCUAGCGGGAUGCUUUACACAUGCAAGUCGAACGGCAGCGCGGACUUCGGUCUGGCGGCGAGUGGCGAACGGGUGAGUAAUGUAUCGGAACGUGCCCAGUAGCGGGGGAUAACUACGCGAAAGCGUAGCUAAUACCGCAUACGCCCUACGGGGGAAAGCAGGGGAUCGUAAGACCUUGCACUAUUGGAGCGGCCGAUAUCGGAUUAGCUAGUUGGUGAGGUAACGGCUCACCAAGGCGACGAUCCGUAGCUGGUUUGAGAGGACGACCAGCCGCACUGGGACUGAGACACGGCCCAGACUCCUACGGGAGGCAGCAGUGGGGAAUUUUGGACAAUGGGGGCAACCCUGAUCCAGCCAUCCCGCGUGUGCGAUGAAGGCCUUCGGGUUGGAAAGCACUUUUGGCAGGAAAGAAACGUCGCGGGCUAAUACCCCGUGGAACUGACGGUACCUGCAGAAUAAGCACCGGCUAACUACGUG